rnacentral:rRNA from 1 species
GUGGGGAAUAUUGGACAAUGGGCGAAAGCCUGAUCCAGCCAUGCCGCGUGUGUGAAGAAGGUCUUCGGAUUGUAAAGCACUUUAAGUUGGGAGGAAGGGCAGUAAGUUAAUACCUUGCUGUUUUGACGUUACCGACAGAAUAAGCACCGGCUAACUUCGUGCCAGCAGCCGCGGUAAUACGAAGGGUGCAAGCGUUAAUCGGAAUUACUGGGCGUAAAGCGCGCGUAGGUGGUUUUGUAAGUUGGAGGUGAAAUCCACGGGCUCAACCUGGGAACUGCCUUCAAAACUUGAGGACUAGAGUACGGUAGAGGGUAGUGGAAUUUCCUGUGUAGCGGUGAAAUGCGUAGAUAUAGGAAGGAACACCAGUGGCGAAGGCGACUACCUGGACUGAUACUGACACUGAGGUGCGAAAGCGUGGGGAGCUAACAGGAUUAGAAACCCCUGUAGUCC